AAGGAUUCCCUUAGUAACUGCGAGUGAAGAGGGAAAAGCUCAAAUUUAAAAUCUGGCAGUGCUUCACUGUCCGAGUUGUAACCUAGAGAAGUGUAACCUGCGCUGGACCGUGUAUAAGUCUCCUGGAAUGGAGCAUCACAGAGGGUGAGAAUCCCGUCUUUGACACGGACUACCAGUGCAUUGUGGUUGCGCUCUCAACGAGUCGAGUUGUUUGGGAAUGCAGCUCUAAAUGGGUGGUAAAUUCCAUCUAAAGCUAAAUAUUGGCGAGAGACCGAUAGCGAACAAGUACCGUGAGGGAAAGAUGAAAAGAACUUUGGAAAGAGAGUUAAACAGUAUGUGAAAUUGUUGAAAGGGAAACGUUUGAAGUCAGUCGCGUUGGUUGGGGAUCAGCCUGACAUUUGUUGGGUGUACUUCCUGGUUGACGGGCCAACAUCAGUUUUGACUGCCAGAAAAAGGCCAAAGGAAUGUGGCACCUUUGGGUGUGUUAUAGCCCUUGGUCGUAUAUGGUGGUUGGGACUGAGGAAAGCAGCGUGCCGAAAGGCCGGGUUUCGACCACGUUCACGCUGAGGAUGUUGGCAUAAUGGCUUUAAGCGACCCGUCUUGAAACACGGACCAAGGAGUCUAACAUGCGUGCGAGUGUUUGGGUGGAAAACCCUUACGCGUAAUGAAAGUGAAAGUUGAGAUCCCUGUCGCGGGGAGCAUCGACGCCCGGACCAGAACUUUUGGGACGGAUCUGCGGUAGAGCAUGUAUGUUGGGACCCGAAAGAUGGUGAACUAUGCCUGAAUAGGGUGAAGCCAGAGGAAACUCUGGUGGAGGCUCGUAGCGAUUCUGACGUGCAAAUCGAUCGUCAAAUUUGGGUAUAGGGCGAAAAGACUAAUCG
rnacentral:rRNA from 1 species